CAUCCCAAAACUACUUGAUGUUUCUGCCUGGGCUUGCUCUGUGUCCUUCUGAUCUCCUCUCUUUCUUUGUGUGCAGCUCUCCCUCACCCACCUCACUUCAGCCCAGCUGAGCACAACCAGGAGACAAGUGUUUGGUACGUGCACAGGGACUCUAUGAUCAAGCACCGGGCCCAGAAAGCUCCCCCUGGGCAACACAGGCACUGCGAGCGAUGCUUCAGCCGGCACUGCCGCGCGCCCAUUGAGGUCUCCGUGUCCUGCAUGGUGAUCAGCUGCCGCCUCCACUGCGGGGCCACCUUCCACAUGUGCAAGGAGGAGGAGCACAAACUGCUCUGCCCCUUGGAGCAGGUGUCCUGCCUCAACUCAGCCUAUGGCUGCCCUUUCUCCAUGGCCCGCUUUAAGCUGGGGAAGCACCUCCAGGUCUGUCCAGCCAGUGUUGUGUGCUGCUCGAUGGAGUGGAACCGCUGGCCAAACGUGGAUUCAGACACAACGCUGCACAAGAAUAUUAUGAAAGAGGCCUUGAAUGAAGAAUGUCUGGACACAGCUUUGGCACUCAGAGACCAGAAGAUACUUUUCAGGGCUUUGAAAGUAGCUGAAUUAUUUCCAGAGUGGAGGAAAGAGGACGAACUGAAAGAACUAAUGGAUCAAGCCAUGGGUGGGGAAGCAGGUGCUGUGGGAGGAGCUGCCUGUGGUUCCCAAGAGGGCAAUGACCAGUCUGAGCUCAGCCAGCGUGAGCGGGAAGAUCUGGCAAAAGACAAAGAGGGAAUGGAUCUGGGGAGUUACAAAACAUGGGAGAACAUUUUCAGCAAAGAGCUUCUGGCUUGCCAGGUAACAGGCUCAGCAACCAGCUCAGGGCAAAAGACAGAGGAGGCUUCCAAGAAAGCAGCAGCAGCCUCUCGUGCUGCCAGCUCCACAGAGAAGGCAAAGGAAGGACCUGAUGGUGCAGAAGAGGGAAAGAGCCAAAAGUCUGAACAAGUAACACCGAGCAGAGAACUGAAUGGACUGGCUCCCUGGCAGGAAGGGGUGCUGGAGAGGCUGAAGAAGGAAGUCGGUGUGGCAGAUUACAACAUGUAUCUGGUACAUCACGGGGGAAUGCUCAUCCGCUUUGGCCAGAUGGCUGCUUGCACUCCCAGAGAAAAAGACUUUGUCUAUGGCAACUUGGAAGCCCAGGAGGUGAAAACUGUCUAUACCUUCAAAGUGCCAGUCAGUUACUGUGGCAAAAGAGCACGACUAGGAGAUGCACUGGGCCACAAGAUGCCAACUUCAGACAAGUCAGUGGAUACCUCAGAACUGGGAAUAAACAUAGAAGAACUACCUAAGACAAAUAUAGUUGAAGCCACACUGCUGUGUGCUCUGGAGAAAGAGCUGAAAGGCCAUGAGAUCUCUGAAGCAAGAGGUAUCGAUGGACUCUUUGUGGAUUUUGCAACACAGACAUACAGCUUUCCUUUGGAGCCCUUCUCCUCCAGUGCAGUUCUAGCAGAUAUUCUGGAUGAAAACAGCCCACCAGAACUGCACAUGGAGCUCUACACUGAAUGUGUAACCAGAAGACACAACAAAAGCAGUUCAGCUUUCACGUUCACUUGCAGUCAUUUCUUUAGGAGGGAUGAGUUCCCAUUCCACUUCAAGAAUGUGCACGCUGAUAUCCAGUCAUGCCUGGAUGGAUGGUUCCAGCAUCGCUGCCCACUGGCCUACUUGGGGUGUCCUUUUGUCCAAAAUCACUUCCGCCCCGAGGGACUAAAGGCCAAGGUUAUUUACAGCAAGCCUCUCAAGACAUUUGCUAUUAAGCCAGAAGUGGACACCCUUCUUGCUGAACCAGGCAAUUCCAUAGUGGAUUGUCGAGGGAGAAACAAGGACUUGCUGAGCAGCCUCCCAGUGGAAGUGCUCAAGUACAUUGCAGGAUUCCUGGACAGCUUCAGUUUAUCUCAGCUAUCACAAGUGUCAGUGCUCAUGAGGGACAUCUGUGCCACUCUUCUUCAAGAGAGGGGAAUGGUCCUGCUGGUCUGGGAGAAAAAAAGAUAUUCCCAUGGUGGUACUUCUUGGAGAGCUCGGAAAAAGAUCUGGCAGUUCAGCAGCCUGUUCUCCAGAGUUCACAACUGGCAGCGCAGCGAUGUCCCGAGCAUGUCGGAGCACCUGAGGAAUUGUCCCUUCUACCAGGCAGAGCACAGGACAGACCCCGUGCUGCUGACGGGCAUGAGCGAAUCCCGGGAGCAGACUCGAAAGACUUUGGUCUCUACUUUCAAGCACAGAGUCUGAACAACUUUCUUCCCCUCUGACAUGCUCCCUUCAGGGCUCUGAGAUGAAGAUUUGGGGAUUCAGCAUCCUGAAGAAAGCAAUGAGGAUCUUAUUUGAAAACAGCAUUUUUACAUCCUUGAAGGGUCUGAACUGGAAAAGGGGAUCCAAUUCCAGCAGAGCAUUGAGGUUGCUCUCAGUCCAGCCCCCACACUCUGGAUCUUCAUGACUUUGAUCUUGUUUGUGCUGUCCACAAGUCCUGUGAAGUGCAAGAGCAAUACUCCACACACCCCAGGCUGGCGUGUCUUGCAGUGUUUCCUCUCACUGGAAGAGUGGAAGUGAAAUGAAGGAAUCGUGGAAAUCAGAAAGGUCAGAGCAGGGCAAAAAAACUCAAGAGAAGACAGGAAACAGAAAAGGUAAUGGGUUUGGAUAGAGAGACCUGCCUCGUUGUAGGUGGUGUCAGGAGAGGCAAGAGGAGAUGGGUGAAAGGGCACAGGAAUGAAAGGAGUUGGGAUGUGCUGCCAAAACCAGAGGUUUUCUGGAUAAAAGCAUUUCCUUGACAAAGACUCUGGAAAUUCCCAACUGGUGCUAUACAGUAACAUGGGGCAGAUGAUAAUUUUUAGGGGGUGAAAGGGCAAGUGACCUACUGACAUGUAUCCUAAGUCUGGGUUGAAGGAUGGAUUUUUUUGAUGGACCUCCAACUCCCAAAACUGAGAGAGCACAGAUAAGGUGACGUUUAUCUGAACAGUGCCUGUUGUUUUGUGAAACUCUGUAACUCCUUGUUGCAUUCUUAGGAAUAAAAAUUAUUACGGUAUUAAAAAAAAUCCAUUCAAAUUCAGGUCUUACCUUUUUUUCUUGACUUCAUCACAUAAAUGUAUGUUUUGCCUUCAAAGCAGGUGUGGCAGUUCCUGUACUCUCAUAUUCAUUAUGCUCCUGUCCUCUGCUCUGCUUUUCAUUAUCAUUUUCCUGGUUGAAGACUUUCAUUUAUGUACGUUUUAUAUUUAUUUAAUUUUAACAAAUAU